rnacentral:misc_RNA from 1 species
UAUUCUACAUGUAGCUGCAAUGUGAAUAAAAAAAAAAAGAGAUGUUUCAUCAGUCAGGAAGGCGGCGGAAUGUAGCAUCCAGAACUUCAUCAAUAGUAGGUAAAUAAGUAAUUAAUGAAUGCCUUCAAACAGUGUUGAGGGUUAAGAUUCUGAUAUUUUCUUGACCAGAGCACAAUAAUUGAUGCCUCAAAUUGUACAAAUGAAUGAAAAAUGGCUUUCCCUAGCAAGACCCAGAAACAUCAACCACUAAGUCCAGAAGUAGUUUGCUUCUUCUUCUUCAUUUUUUUUUUUAACUCUAAAGUCUUCCUUAUUAUUAUAGGGAUACCAUUAGAACAAAAAUAAGGUACUUUUGACCCUUAAACUUGUAAGUUUCAAUCUAUCAUACACCAAAAUUUUUUGACAAACUUAUCACACCCCUAAACUUUUCAUGAAACCUAUCACACCACUAAAUUUGUAAAUUUCAUAACAAUUAUAUAUAAUUUUGCCCUAUCAGCAAUGUGUUUUAUGCAUUUGACUUGUCAAAAAUCUGACAAGUGGACUCUUUUUAUGCCGUUUUUGCAACUUUACUUGUGUACUUACUCUUCUCUAAACCUCUAAGUAUCUCAUUCACCUCGCCCUCCAUCUCUCUCCCCUCCCUCCCUCCGUCCCUCCCUCUAUGAUUUUAGUGCUUUCAGUGUCUCUCAUCUUACCUUGUGCUCUCUUCCCAUCUACAUGUUCUCUCUGGUCUCUCUCUUUCUGCCAAAAUAAUGAAGCUCCCAAAACAUGCAAAUCACAAUCCAAAUUGCAAAAUCACAAACACAAAAAAGGUUGACAAAUUAUAGCAUAUCAACAUUUUUUUUCAUUCAAUAUAAUCACAAUUGAUCAACAAUGAAGAGUCACAUUUCUAAGUAGGACAUUUUAUUUCACUCAAUACUGAAAUGAAAGAAAGAAAAAAAUCACAAGAAAGAAAUUAGGAAACACUAAAAUCAUAAACACACCAAAAAUCAUAAGAAAGAAAUCAGAAAAAAGAAAUCCCCAAGUACAGUUUUACACUGAAAAUCACUUCAUUUUUCUUUCUCCAAUCCCAAAACAAAACACUAAAAUCCCUCUUCUUUUCCUCUCUCCUUUGUAGACUAUUGGUGCAUAGAUGUUGUUGUCAUGUUCUUGGGUUUUGGCUUCAAGUUUUGAAUCGACAUAGAUUUCCAGUGAGAGACUUUAAGAGUUGUCACUGUUGCUGUUGGUAAGAGAAAUUCUGCCACUGAAAAACAAAUGUGAUGUCUAAAUAUGCUCAAUUUGGGGCUGGUCAGGCUUCUUCUUUGGACUUACUGAACAAAAAAAGAAGGGAAAGGAAAGGGAAGGGAAGAUGUUGUGCUUGCUGGAUGAGGGGAAGGGGAGAGGCCAGAGACGAGAAAUAGAGGAAAGGUUGAGAUGGAAUGAGAGAGGAAGAGGGAGGCAGUUGCUACUUUAGGUUUAGGGCUUGAAAGAAUGAUCAUUUAUAUAGGGACGAUAAAAAUGACGUAAUUUUAUGCAACACCAGAUGGGCUUACUCAUCUUCACAUGUUCAAUAAAGCGUGCAUAGAAUGCAUUACUAACAGGGUAAAAUUGUGUUGAAUUGUUAUGAAAUUACAAAUUUAGGUGUGCGAUAAAUUUUUUUUUUUCCGAAGUACAAAUUUAGUAGUGAAAGAUGCAUUUGGCCAUAAAAAGAACCUAGAUACUUUAAUUUAGCUAGGCUGUAUCAGGCGAAAACGAUUUCAGCUACUCAUCAAGCUGGAAAGAGCCCUUAAUACAAUUCAAAAACCAAAAAGAUUGUGAUAGCAUUCAGGGAAAAGUAACCAUCUAUUGAUUCUUCUUCUUCUUCU